GCAUAUUAGAAUAUAAAACACUAUCUCAUAGUGUCCCAUGCCAGAGCAAACUGUGUCCCCGAACCAUUGCCUGGCCUGUGCCCGUAGGCUGCUGGCACUGAAGUUGGCUGCAUGGUG
rnacentral:snoRNA from 1 species